CUCCGCAUUCAUCUCCACAAUUUUUAGAAUUUUGGCAUUCAGCAAGGAACGCGACGCCUCAGCAUUCAUCUCCACAGUUUUCUGAAUUUUGGCAUUCAGUAAGGAAUUCUACCUAUGAUUUGAAGAAGAUUUCCUACAGUUUCAAGCGACAAGGGUUUCAAUAUUCGAACAGCAGCUGUAUCGAGAUUGGAAAGUGCCCGACGCUUGACAAAGAUUGGGGCUUGCGG